rnacentral:lncRNA from 1 species
GAAACCUGAGUAUGUAAGCAAACAGCUGCAUCACAAUGGCAUUAAUUUGAUUUAGGGCUGUGUUGGAGAUGAUGGUUUUGAUCACUGAUUUAAGAAGAAGAAGGCUGAAAUUCUUGUGAAUUUAGCAAUUUUCUCUUUUACCAGUUGAUCAGUAUUCAACAUGCUGCUGUGGCAGUGCUGAUCCAGACAUGUGAGGGAGAAAGGAUCAGCGGAACUCUGAACCAGCUGCUCUGUGGUGCCCUGAGAGGCAGCACUGUCAGUACACAUGGACUUCACUGCCAGAUGGACACACAUCCUCCAGAUCAGAUCUGCCUGCCCGGUGGGCUAAAAGAAUGACAAUGAUGGCAUCGCCAAAAGGGACUGUUGGGAUAAAGCAUGAAAAGUACUUCUCAUCCACGCUGGAGGUCUAAUCUGAAGUUUAUACACUUACAGUUGAUAAAGUUAAAUGUGUUC